UACGGAGGGUGCAAGCGUUAUCCGGAUUCACUGGGUUUAAAGGGUGCGUAGGUGGGCAGGUAAGUCAGUGGUGAAAUCUCCGGGCUUAACCCGGAAACUGCCAUUGAUACUAUUUGUCUUGAAUACUGUGGAGGUCAGCGGAAUAUGUCAUGUAGCGGUGAAAUGCUUAGAUAUGACAUAGAACACCAAUUGCGAAGGCAGCUGGCUACACAAAUAUUGACACUGAGGCACGAAAGCGUGGGGAUCAAACAGGA
rnacentral:rRNA from 1 species